GCCAGGCAUGGUGGCACAUGCCUGUAAUCCCAGCUACUCGGGAGGCUAUGGUGGGAGGAUUGCUUGAGCCCAGGAGGUUAAGACUGUAGUGAGUCAUGAUUGUACCACUGCAUCCAGCCUGGGCAAUAGAGCAAGACCCCAUCUCUU
ensembl:misc_RNA Metazoa_SRP Metazoan signal recognition particle RNA